UACGUAGGGGGCAAGCGUUGUCCGGAUUUAUUGGGCGUAAAGAGCGUGUAGGCGGCCAGACAGGUCCGUUGUGAAAACUCGAGGCUCAACCUCGAGACGUCGAUGGAAACCGUCUGGCUAGAGUCCGGAAGAGGAGAGUGGAAUUCCUGGUGUAGCGGUGAAAUGCGCAGAUAUCAGGAAGAACACCUAUGGCGAAGGCAGCUCUCUGGGACGGUACUGACGCUGAGACGCGAAAGCGUGGGGAGCGAACAGG
rnacentral:rRNA from 2 species